rnacentral:rRNA from 1 species
CAGCAGCAGCCGCGGUAAUACCAGCACCUCGAGUGGUCAGGAGGUUUAUUGGGCCUAAAGCAUCCGUAGCCGGUUGCAUAAGUUUUCGGUUAAAUCUAUGCGCUUAACGUAUAGGCCGCCGAAAAUACUGUGCAGCUAGGGAGUGGGAGAGGUACACGGUACUCGAUAGGAAGGGGUAAAAUCCUUUGAUCUAUUGAUGACCACCUGUGGCGAAGGCGGUGUACCAGAACACGUUCGACGGUGAGGGAUGAAAGCUGGGGGAGCAAACCGGAUUAGAUACCCGCGUAGUCCCUGUCUCUUAUAA